rnacentral:rRNA from 1 species
CCUACGGGAGGCAGCAGUGGGGAAUAUUGCGCAAUGGGCGAAAGCCUGACGCAGCGACGCCGCGUGGGGGAUGACGGCCUUCGGGUUGUAAACCUCUUUCAGCAGGGACGAAGCGAGAGUGACGGUACCUGCAGAAGAAGCACCGGCCAACUACGUGCCAGCAGCCGCGGUAAUACGUAGGGUGCAAGCGUUGUCCGGAAUUAUUGGGCGUAAAGAGCUCGUAGGCGGUCUGUCGCGUCGGCUGUGAAAUCCCGAGGCUCAACCUCGGGUCUGCAGUCGAUACGGGCAAACUAGAGUGUUGCAGGGGAGACUGGAAUUCCUGGUGUAGCGGUGAAAUGCGCAGAUAUCAGGAGGAACACCGGUGGCGAAGGCGGGUCUCUGGGCAACAACUGACGCUGAGGAGCGAAAGCGUGGGGAGCGAACAGGAUUAGAUACCCUGGUAGUCCACGCCGUAAACGUUGGGCGCUAGGUGUGGGGCUCAUCACGAGUCGUGCGCNGCUACGCAUAGCGCCCGCCGUCGGGAGGUACGGCCGCGAGGACGUAAACCGUACGAAGGAAGUAGACGGCGNGAGACGUGCCGAACGGACGACGACGAGGGAGGUAGG